AUUGAACGCUGGCGGCAUGCUUUACACAUGCAAGUCGAACGGUAACAGGCCGCAAGGUGCUGACGAGUGGCGAACGGGUGAGUAAUGCAUCGGAACGUGACCAGUCGUGGGGGAUAACGCAGCGAAAGCUGUGCUAAUACCGCAUACGAACUAUGGAUGAAAGCGGGGGACAGGAAGGCCUCGCGCGAUUGGAGCGGGCGAUGUCAGAUUAGGUAGUUGGUGGGGUAAAGGCCCACCAAGCCAACGAUCUGUAGCUGGUCUGAGAGGACGACCAGCCACACUGGGACUGAGACACGGCCCAGACUCCUACGGGAGGCAGCAGUGGGGAAUUUUGGACAAUGGGCGCAAGCCUGAUCCAGCAAUGCCGCGUGCAGGAAGAAGGCCUUCGGGUUGUAAACUGCUUUUGUACGGAACGAAACGGUCCGGGUUAAUACCCUGGGCUAAUGACGGUACCGUAAGAAUAAGCACCGGCUAACUACGUGCCAGCCGCCGCAGUAACAC
rnacentral:rRNA from 1 species